rnacentral:rRNA from 1 species
AUUGAACGCUGGCGGCAGGCCUAACACAUGCAAGUCGAGCGGAGUGGCGGACGGGUGAGUAAUGCCUAGGAAUCAGCCUGGUAGUGGGGGAUAACGUCCGGAAACGGGCGCUAAUACCGCAUACUAUCAGAUGAGCCUAGGUCGGAUUAGCUAGUUGGUGGGGUAAAGGCCUACCAAGGCGACGAGCCGUAGCUGGUCUGAGAGGAUGAUCAGUCACACUGGAACUGAGACACGGUCCAGACUCCUACGGGAGGCAGCAGUGGGGAAUAUUGCACAAUGGGCGCAAGCCUGAUGCAGCCAUGCCGCGGGUGUGAAGAAGGCCUUCGGGUGGUAAAGCACUUUCAGCGGGGAGGCGUUACCCGCAGAAGAAGCACCGGCUAACUCCGUGCCAGCAGCCGCGGUAAUAC